GACGAACGCUGGCGGCGUGCUUAACACAUGCAAGUCGAACGGAAAGGCCCUGCUUUUGUGGGGUGCUCGAGUGGCGAACGGGUGAGUAACACGUGAGUAACCUGCCCUUGACUUUGGGAUAACUUCAGGAAACUGGGGCUAAUACCGGAUAGGAGCUCCUGCUGCAUGGUGGGGGUUGGAAAGUUUCGGCGGUUGGGGAUGGACUCGCGGCUUAUCAGCUGGUUGGUGUGGUAGUGGCUUACCAAGGCUUUGACGGGUAGCCGGCCUGAGAGGGUGACCGGCCACAUUGGGACUGAGAUACGGCCCAGACUCCUACGGGAGGCAGCAGUGGGGAAUAUUGCACAAUGGGCGGAAGCCUGAUGCAGCAACGCCGCGUGCGGGAUGACGGCCUUCGGGUUGUAAACCGAUUUCGCCUGUGACGAAGCGUGAGUGACGGUAAUGGGUAAAGAAGCACCGGCUAACUACGUG
rnacentral:rRNA from 1 species